rnacentral:misc_RNA from 1 species
GAUGAAGAACGUAGCAAAAUGCGAUAAGUAAUGUGAAUUGCAGAAUUCAGUGAAUCAUCGAAUCUUUGAACGCACAUUGCGCCCGCUGGUAUUCCGGCGGGCAUGCCUGUUCGAGCGUCAUUUCAACCCUCAAGCCCCCGGGUUUGGUGUUGGGGAUCGGCUCUGCCUUCUGGCGGUGCCGCCCCCGAAAUACAUUGGCGGUCUCGCCGCAGCCUCCAUUGCGUAGUAGCUAACACCUCGCAACUGGAACGCGGCGCGGCCAUGCCGUAAAACCCCAACUUCUGAAUGUUGACCUCGGAUCAGGUAGGAAUACCCGCUGAACUUAAGCAUAUCAAUAAGCGGAGGA